UGAGAUGUGCUUUUGUUCAGAACCCC
rnacentral:piRNA from 1 species